UUUUGUUGAGAGAUUUGAACCUACAACUAACAACUAUACAUUCAGGGGAAUAAUAUGGAAGCAUUAAAAUUAAAUAUUUUAAGAACUAUUAUUUUUAAUUUUAAUUCUUGAUUACAAUAGGUAUACACUUUGUUGAGAGAUACGUAUAAACAACUGACAACUAUACAUUCAGGGGAAUAAUAUGAAAACAUUCAUAUUGAAUAUUUUAAGAACUAUUCUUCUCCAUUUUCAAUUUAGUAAUACAAAUUCCAAAAAUGUACUGCUCUGUUCCACAACCUGCAAGAAACUACUAGUUUUGCAUUUUUUUCGAUAUCAUAAAGGGAAAAUCGGUUAUCGUAGUAAAAACGUUUACAUUCUUGCAGUACUGGAACAGACUAUUUAUUUUUGAAAUUAAAAUAAUUUAUCAAAAUUUAUUUGUUUUGUUUAUAUUUUUGGACUUAUAAAUCUGACACUUAAGUAUAACAGUAUAAAAAAUUGCAUGUGGUUUUUGUUACGUUUGUUGUACAACAACACUUGCUGUUACCCGUGUUAUUCCACCAUGAAUGAUGUGUAUCAUUCAAUGGAAAACGGUAGAAAACCAAACAUUUUGGAAUGACAACUCUAAAUGUACCCAUCAUUAGUGCUGUUCCAGAACCUGCAAGAAUCUCCUGGUUUUGGAACGGACUAAUUAUUUCGCACAAUUAACAUUUGAAAAAGGGUUUCCCGACGAUUCACAUUCAAACGAUACAGCUCGGGAACUCACAGCCGAAAUAUACUAAAGCAAUUGUAUUUUGUAUUGUUGUAUUUUGUAUUGUUUGUGUUAAUCGCACCUGUUUCACCAUUUAUUUCUAUGGCACGCUCUGAAAAAAAUGCUUCUGGAGAUAAUUGAUCUUGUGUUUUUAACCAGAAAAAAUGUAAUUAACUGGUACCUUAAAAUGCAUAAAAUAUUUAUUUAUUAUCGAAAAUAGCAAUAGAAUUCUCUGAAAACGAACUGCAAAAAAUAAAUUCUUAACAUGCUUUAAAUAUUCUA